GAUGAAGAACGCAGCGAAAUGCGAUAAGUAAUGUGAAUUGCAGAAUUCAGUGAAUCAUCGAAUCUUUGAACGCAUCUUGCGCUCCUUGGUAUUCUGAGGAGCAUGCCUGUUUGAGUGUCAUUAAAUUCUCAACUACACUGACUUUGAAUUGGUGUGGCUUGGAUUUGGGGGGAAAAUUGUUGUGGGCUUUUUGUAUAGUCUGCUCCCCUGAAAUUGAUUAGCGGUACCUUUGUGGAACUGUCUACAGGUGUGAUAAUUAUCUACAUCUUAGACAUCUGCUGGAAUGCUGCUUUCUAAACCUUACUUGUAUUGACAAUCUUGACCUCAAAUCAGGUAGGACUACCCGCUGAACUUAAGCAUAUCAAUAAGCGAGA
rnacentral:misc_RNA from 1 species